GAUGAACGCUGGCGGCGUGCUUAACACAUGCGAGUCGAACGGUGAAGGCGGAGCUUGCUCUGCUGGAUCAGUGGCGAACGGGUGAGUAACACGUGAGCAAUCUGCCCCUGACUCUGGGAUAAGCGCUGGAAACGGCGUCUAAUACUGGAUACGAGCUGCGAAGGCAUCUUCAGCAGCUGGAAAGAACUUCGGUCAGGGAUGAGCUCGCGGCCUAUCAGCUUGUUGGUGAGGUAGCGGCUCACCAAGGCGUCGACGGGUAGCCGGCCUGAGAGGGUGACCGGCCACACUGGGACUGAGACACGGCCCAGACUCCUACGGGAGGCAGCAGUGGGGAAUAUUGCACAAUGGGCGAAAGCCUGAUGCAGCAACGCCGCGUGAGGGACGACGGCCUUCGGGUUGUAAACCUCUUUUAGCAGGGAAGAAGCGAAAGUGACGGUACCUGCAGAAAAAGCGCCGGCUAACUACGUG
rnacentral:rRNA from 1 species